rnacentral:rRNA from 1 species
UCAGCGACUUAUAUUCUGUAGCAAGGUUAACCGAAUAGGGGAGCCGAAGGGAAACCGAGUCUUAACUGGGCGUUAAGUUGCAGGGUAUAGACCCGAAACCCGGUGAUCUAGCCAUGGGCAGGUUGAAGGUUGGGUAACACUAACUGGAGGACCGAACCGACUAAUGUUGAAAAAUUAGCGGAUGACUUGUGGCUGGGGGUGAAAGGCCAAUCAAACCGGGAGAUAGCUGGUUCUCCCCGAAAGCUAUUUAGGUAGCGCCUCGUGAAUUCAUCUCCGGGGGUAGAGCACUGUUUCGGCAAGGGGGUCAUCCCGACUUACCAACCCGAUGCAAACUGCGAAUACCGGAGAAUGUUAUCACGGGAGACACACGGCGGGUGCUAACGUCCGUCGUGAAGAGGGAAACAACCCAGACCGCCAGCUAAGGUCCCAAAGUCAUGGUUAAGUGGGAAACGAUGUGGGAAGGCCCAGACAGCCAGGAUGUUGGCUUAGAAGCAGCCAUCAUUUAAAGAAAGCGUAAUAGCUCACUGGUCGAGUCGGCCUGCGCGGAAGAUGUAACGGGGCUAAACCAUGCACCGAAGCUGCGGCAGCGACGCUGAUGCGUUGUUGGGUAGGGGAGCGUUCUGUAAGCCUGUGAAGGUGUGCUGUGAGGCAUGCUGGAGGUAUCAGAAGUGCGAAUGCUGACAUAAGUAACGAUAAAGCGGGUGAAAAGCCCGCUCGCCGGAAGACCAAGGGUUCCUGUCCAACGUUAAUCGGGGCAGGGUGAGUCGACCCCUAAGGCGAGGCCGAAAGGCGUAGUCGAUGGGAAACAGGUUAAUAUUCCUGUACUUGGUGUUACUGCGAAGGGGGGACGGAGAAGGCUAUGUUGGCCGGGCGACGGUUGUCCCGGUUUAAGCGUGUAGGCUGGUUUUCCAGGCAAAUCCGGAAAAUCAAGGCUGAGGCGUGAUGACGAGGCACUACGGUGCUGAAGCAACAAAUGCCCUGCUUCCAGGAAAAGCCUCUAAGCAUCAGGUAACAUCAAAUCGUACCCCAAACCGACACAGGUGGUCAGGUAGAGAAUACCAAGGCGCUUGAGAGAACUCGGGUGAAGGAACUAGGCAAAAUGGUGCCGUAACUUCGGGAGAA